rnacentral:rRNA from 1 species
GAUGAACGCUGGCGGCGUGCCUAUUACAUGCAAGUCGAGCGAACAGACGAGGAGCUUGCUCCUUUGACGUUAGCGGCGGACGGGUGAGUAACACGUAGGUAACCUACCUAUAAGACUGGGAUAACUUCGGGAAACCGGAGCUAAUACCGGAUAAUAUUUCGAACCGCAUGGUUCGAUAGUGAAAGAUGGCUUUGCUAUCACUUAUAGAUGGACCUGCGCCGUAUUAGCUAGUUGGUAAGGUAACGGCUUACCAAGGCAACGAUACGUAGCCGACCUGAGAGGGUGAUCGGCCACACUGGAACUGAGACACGGUCCAGACUCCUAAGGGAGGCAGCAGUAGGGAAUCUUCCGCAAUGGGCGAAAGCCUGACGGAGCAACGCCGCGUGAGUGAUGAAGGUCCUCGGAUCGUAAAACUCUGUUAUUAGGGAAGAACAAACGUGUAAGUAACUGUGCACGUCUUGACGGUACCUAAUCAGAAAGCCACGGCUAACUACGUG